CAAGCAUUAAUUAAACUUUACAGCAGCAUCUCUUAUAAAUGGAUAUAAGAGAUUAAAGAACUUGUCCAAGACAACUAGCACAUACUAGAGCUGGGAUUUGAAAUUAAAUCUAUCUUGAUUUUAAAGCCACAUUCUUUCUACUACACUACCUUGCCACUUGGUCUUUAAAGACAUAAAGGAUGAAAUACACAGAGAGGAAUAAACCAAGCACACAUCACAGGCAACCAGAGUGUGGAGGCCUGUUCAGAAAAGCUAAGAUAGCUAAGAGGCAAGGUCCAACAAUGCUGGUGGGUUUUCUGUGAAUAACUCAUUCCUUUAGCAGGCGUGUACUCAGUGCUAGUUGCAUGCAGAGCCCACAGUAGGCUGCUGCCCUGCUUCUCCUUCUGGACCUCAUCCUCAUCUUGGUCCUCAUCUUGGAUGAGUUACUCAGUCGGGUGAAGACAAGCUGGGUGCUCUCAUAAUUGAAGGCCCAGGCUCGGACAGCCCUCCCACUCUGCUCACGUCCAAGGCCGAAGGGUGACAUUCAACCCCGUCCCCAGAGUGUAUCCACUGCCUACUCUUUUGAUCACAAGUUCUACUGUCUUUAGAAAGUUUUCACUCCAGAAGCAACUUCUAGUGUGGACGCUGAACUAUGAGAUGGUGAGAGAUGCUCAUGUAAGAGAUCACUAACCUCCAGAUCCAAAAUCAAAAUGUUUGGGACCAGAAGUGAAAGAUGUAUCUUUAAAAUAGAUGCAGUGUACCAUAUUAAGAAAUGGAUCAUCUUGUAAGAUUAACUGUUUGCAGCACUGUCACUCCUCAAAUCCAUGCCCAUUUAGAUGGGGGACCCUGUGAAGCUAACCAAAAAAUAUUACCUCCAGUUGUUUAUAGGCAUAGCCCUAUUUCUGCAAACAUCAGCUGGUUACAAAGGAAGAAUGGAGAGACUCAAAAGCCAUCCCUGAUUCUCAUUUCUUAGGUGUCGCUUGACAUCUGGAGCCUCUGAGGUCAUCCACAUUGCCUGAGCACCCAGUGGAACUUGGAUUCUUGGGCUCCAUUUCUGCAUAGACGGUGGGCUAGAGGAGUGUAUAUGGUAGCCUGGCAUUUGUCGCUUAUGUUUGCACGUACUACCUACAUCAUGAUAUGCAAAUGUUCAUGGAGCACGUGCCACACGAGACACACCGUGCCCAGUGCUGAGCAAGCACUUCAAGGGAUGCACAAGACCAGAGCCCUCCUUCUCUCAACAGGUAAGAAAAUGUUAGCUUUCCUCUUCCCUUGUUUCUUUCUUCCUAUUGCUUUUCCCUCCGAUUUCAGUCUGUGGCAAACUGGAAGUGGACCUGGAAAGAGGCUGUGGCCCAGUGGGUCUGCAAGUGCCGCCCCCAUUCUGCAGCAGGAGCACCAUGGAACUGGAAGAAAUGCAACUUCUCUGGCCCUGACCCAGACCUACUGAGUCAGACUCCGAGGCUGGGCCCAACAAUCUGUGCUUUAACAAGCCCUCCAGAGGAUUCUGAUAGGAGCUUGAGAACCACCCAUGUAGAUGCCUGUCAGAGAGGAGGGAGGAGGGAGCAGAUCAGACUUCCACCAGAGAUGAACCUUCCCGUGGCUGCUCUCGCUGGGGCUUUCGGGAAAUACCAGGAAAGAAUUUCCUUCUUGUCACUCUCUCUGUGAAAGUCCACAGGGAUUACAUCUUGAGCCUCCACAGCCUCUCAUCUCUUGGUGCUUCGCUGGCCUCCUGCUGCCCCGGGUGGCCGCACUCCCAGCUGAGGGGCAGGGACUAGGAAUCUGGACUGUGCCCUUAAGCAGAAGUCUGUGCUCAGCCAAGUCAGCAACCUCAGGGCUCGGGGCUGCAUCCAGGAAGGACAGAACUGGCUGCUUACCCACAGAUCCAAGGCUCUCCUGGGGACUGAGCUCCUGCAAGGUUUCCCCUGGAACCAGCGCGGCCUGUGGAAGGGGGAGCUCUCCUGGGCUGCUGUGAGCUCUCCCUGGAGCAGGUCUGGGAGAGCCCCCAGUGCACUUGGCAGGGGCGCCCCAGAGAGAAUGCUCCUGGCCCCGCUGAGGACCUGGGACCUGCUCCCUUUCUCUCCCCAUCACAGCUCUGAAGACCAGGUCUGUGCCCCAGGCUCCCUGGGGUUUAUUCACUCGGCUGCAGGCUCUAACUCCCUUCAAUACAGCACUGUGUCCAUGGGUCCCAAACUUUGCUGCACAUUGGAAUCACCUGGGGAUCUUUAAAAACUGCUGCCUGUCUCCCGCCCCGAGGCGUUCUGAUUUAAUCGGUACAGGGGGUGACCUGGCCAUAGGCGUGGUAAAAUUUCCCCAGCUGAUUCUAACGUGCAGAAUAGUUUGGGAGCCAAUAAACAAUGUCUUCUGAGGCCAAGACCUUGCUCGCGUUUUGACGUUUAUGGAAUAACACAGUCCUAGAGGUGGAGGGUGGGGCAGGGUUCCCGGGACAAGAAAAAAAUGUGUUUGAAUCAUCAGACGGAGUCAAGACUUAGCAAAUAGCUGGUAAAGACAGGAGGGGAG
rnacentral:lncRNA from 1 species